UACGUAGGGGGCAAGCGUUGUCCGGAAUCAUUGGGCGUAAAGAGCGUGUAGGCGGCCCGAUAAGUCCGCUGUGAAAGUCCAGGGCUCAACCCUGGAAUGCCGGUGGAUACUGUCGGGCUCGAAUCCGGAAGAGGUGAGUGGAAUUCCUGGUGUAGCGGUGAAAUGCGCAGAUAUCAGGAGGAACACCAAUGGCGAAGGCAGCUCACUGGGACGGUAUUGACGCUGAGGAGCGAAAGCCAGGGGAGCAAACGGG
rnacentral:rRNA from 1 species